GCCUCCGUGGCCUAAUGGAUAAGGCAUCGGCCUCCUACACACUCAUGAUAAUAUGGUGCGCUAGCCGGGGAUUGCGGGUUCGAGUCCCGUCGGAGGUG
rnacentral:tRNA from 1 species